rnacentral:rRNA from 1 species
AUAAUGGGUCAGCGACUUAUAUUCUGUAGCAAGGUUAACCGAAUAGGGGAGCCGAAGGGAAACCGAGUCUUAACUGGGCGUUAAGUUGCAGGGUAUAGACCCGAAACCCGGUGAUCUAGCCAUGGGCAGGUUGAAGGUUGGGUAACACUAACUGGAGGACCGAACCGACUAAUGUUGAAAAAUUAGCGGAUGACUUGUGGCUGGGGGUGAAAGGCCAAUCAAACCGGGAGAUAGCUGGUUCUCCCCGAAAGCUAUUUAGGUAGCGCCUCGUGAAUUCAUCUCCGGGGGUAGAGCACUGUUUCGGCAAGGGGGUCAUCCCGACUUACCAACCCGAUGCAAACUGCGAAUACCGGAGAAUGUUAUCACGGGAGACACACGGCGGGUGCUAACGUCCGUCGUGAAGAGGGAAACAACCCAGACCGCCAGCUAAGGUCCCAAAGUCAUGGUUAAGUGGGAAACGAUGUGGGAAGGCCCAGACAGCCAGGAUGUUGGCUUAGAAGCAGCCAUCAUUUAAAGAAAGCGUAAUAGCUCACUGGUCGAGUCGGCCUGCGCGGAAGAUGUAACGGGGCUAAACCAUGCACCGAAGCUGCGGCAGCGACACUGUGUGUUGUUGGGUAGGGGAGCGUUCUGUAAGCCUGCGAAGGUGUGCUGUGAGGCAUGCUGGAGGUAUCAGAAGUGCGAAUGCUGACAUAAGUAACGAUAAAGCGGGUGAAAAGCCCGCUCGCCGGAAGACCAAGGGUUCCUGUCCAACGUUAAUCGGGGCAGGGUGAGUCGACCCCUAAGGCGAGGCCGAAAGGCGUAGUCGAUGGGAAACAGGUUAAUAUUCCUGUACUUGGUGUUACUGCGAAGGGGGGACGGAGAAGGCUAUGUUGGCCGGGCGACGGUUGUCCCGGUUUAAGCGUGUAGGCUGGUUUUCCAGGCAAAUCCGGAAAAUCAAGGCUGAGGCGUGAUGACGAGGCACUACGGUGCUGAAGCAACAAAUGCCCUGCUUCCAGGAAAAGCCUCUAAGCAUCAGGUAACAUCAAAUCGUACCCCAAACCGACACAGGUGGUCAGGUAGAGAAUACCAAGGCGCUUGAGAGAACUCGGGUGAAGGAACUAGGCAAAAUGGUGCCGUAACUUCGGGAGAAGGCACGCUGAUAUGUAGGUGAAGUCCCUCGCGGAUGGAGCUGAAAUCAGUCGAAGAUACCAGCUGGCUGCAACUGUUUAUUAAAAACACAGCACUGUGCAAACACGAAAGUGGACGUAUACGGUGUGACGCCUGCCCGGUGCCGGAAGGUUAAUUGAUGGGGUCAGCGCAAGCGAAGCUCUUGAUCGAAGCCCCGGUAAACGGCGGCCGUAACUAUAACGGUCCUAAGGUAGCGAAAUUCCUUGUCGGGUAAGUUCCGACCUGCACGAAUGGCGUAAUGAUGGCCAGGCUGUCUCCACCCGAGACUCAGUGAAAUUGAACUCGCUGUGAAGAUGCAGUGUACCCGCGGCAAGACGGAAAGACCCCGUGAACCUUUACUAUAGCUUGACACUGAACAUUGAGCCUUGAUGUGUAGGAUAGGUGGGAGGCUUUGAAGUGUGGACGCCAGUCUGCAUGGAGCCGGCCUUGAAAUACCACCCUUUAAUGUUUGAUGUUCUAACGUUGACCCGUGAUCCGGGUUGCGGACAGUGUCUGGUGGGUAGUUUGACUGGGGCGGUCUCCUCCUAAAGAGUAACGGAGGAGCACGAAGGUUGGCUAAUCCUGGUCGGACAUCAGGAGGUUAGUGCAAUGGCAUAAGCCAGCUUGACUGCGAGCGUGACGGCGCGAGCAGGUGCGAAAGCAGGUCAUAGUGAUCCGGUGGUUCUGAAUGGAAGGGCCAUCGCUCAACGGAUAAAAGGUACUCCGGGGAUAACAGGCUGAUACCGCCCAAGAGUUCAUAUCGACGGCGGUGUUUGGCACCUCGAUGUCGGCUCAUCACAUCCUGGGGCUGAAGUAGGUCCCAAGGGUAUGGCUGUUCGCCAUUUAAAGUGGUACGCGAGCUGGGUUUAGAACGUCGUGAGACAGUUCGGUCCCUAUCUGCCGUGGGCGCUGGAGAACUGAGGGGGGCUGCUCCUAGUACGAGAGGACCGGAGUGGACGCAUCACUGGUGUUCGGGUUGUCAUGCCAAUGGCACUGCCCGGUAGCUAAAUGCGGAAGAGAUAAGUGCUGAAAGCAUCUAAGCACGAAACUUGCCCCGAGAUGAGUUCUCCCUGACUCCUUGAGAGUCCUGAAGGAACGUUGAAGACGACGACGUUGAUAGGCCGGGUGUGUAAGCGCAGCGAUGCGUUGAGCUAACCGGUACUAAUGAACCGUGAGG